rnacentral:pre_miRNA from 1 species
AGCUUUUCGAAUCCGUGCUGAAUUUCGUCCGAUACCAGCCCAUUAUGGCUGAUCAGACUUCCAAGAUAAGUGAAGUU